GACGAACGCUGGCGGCGUGCUUAACACAUGCAAGUCGAACGAGGCACCUCCUUCGGGAGGGUGUCCUAGUGGCGAACGGGUGAGUAACACGUGGGCAACCUGCCCUCAGCUCUGGGAUAACCCCAAGAAAUUGGGGCUAAUACCGGAUACGACCGCUGACCGCACGGUCGGUGGUGGAAAGUUUUUCGGCUGGGGAUGGGCCCGCGGCCUAUCAGCUCGUUGGUGGGGUAGUGGCCUACCAAGGCGACGACGGGUAGCCGACCUGAGAGGGUGACCGGCCACACUGGGACUGAGACACGGCCCAGACUCCUACGGGAGGCAGCAGUGGGGAAUAUUGCGCAAUGGGCGGAAGCCUGACGCAGCGACGCCGCGUGGGGGAUGACGGCCUUCGGGUUGUAAACCUCUUUCAGCAGGGACGAAGCGAAAGUGACGGUACCUGCAGAAGAAGCACCGGCCAACUACGUGCCAGCCGCCGCGGUAAGAC
rnacentral:rRNA from 1 species